rnacentral:tRNA from 1 species
UUAAUUGAAGCCAAAAUAGAGGCAUAUCACUGUUAAUGAUAAAAUUGGUAUAUACCCCCAAUUAAA